rnacentral:rRNA from 1 species
GAUGAACGCUAGCGAUAGGCUUAACACAUGCAAGUCGAGGGGCAGCAUGGUCUUAGCUUGCUAAGGCUGAUGGCGACCGGCGCACGGGUGCGUAACGCGUAUGCAACUUGCCUCACAGAGGGGGAUAACCCGUCGAAAGACGGACUAAUACCGCGUACACUCUAUGUUGGGCAUCCAAUGUAGAGGAAAUGAAAUUCGCUGUGAGAUAGGCAUGCGUCCCAUUAGCUAGUUGGUGAGGUAACGGCUCACCAAGGCGACGAUGGGUAGGGGAACUGAGAGGUUGAACCCCCACACUGGUACUGAGACACGGACCAGACUCCUACGGGAGGAAGCAGUGAGGAAUAUUGGUCAAUGGGCGAGAGCCUGAACCAGCCAAGUCGCGUGAAGGAUGACUGUCUUAUGGAUUGUAAACUUCUUUUAUACGGGAAUAACAAGAGUCACGUGUGGCUCCCUGCAUGUACCGUAUGAAUAAGCAUCGGCUAACUCCGUG